rnacentral:sRNA from 1 species
CUUCCUCGAUCUGCUGCGGGCAAAUGAAAUGGAUGUGGGUGUCGACUCCGCCGGCGGUGACGAUCAUGCCUUCGCCGGCGAUGAUUUCGGUGGCGCCGCCGAUGACCAGCGUGACGUUCGGCUGGAUGUCCGGGUUGCCGGCCUUGCCGAUGCCGGCGAUGCGGCCGUUCUUCAGGCCGAUGUCGGCCUUGACGAUGCCCCAGUGGUCGAGGAUCACCGCAUUGGUGAUCACCGUGUCCAUCACGUCGGCCGCGUUGCGCUGGGACUGGCCCAUGCCGUCGCGGAU